rnacentral:lncRNA from 1 species
CUCAUCUCUCUGGUGAGGAUUUGGGUCAGAAAACACCCUGACCAACUCUGGUCUCCUGACCUUGUCUUGUGAUAGUCAAGUGGGUGUAUUCCGUGAUUACUAACAUCAGUGCAGACACCUGGACCUGGGGGGAAAUCAACAGAUACCUGCCUGUUCUGGUACGGAUGGAGAAGGAGGAGCUGGCACCUUCUGCAGUUGGGGAAGAGUUUGUUUCCUGCUCUGGCAGUGCCGCUUUGGUGGACAUAACUCGUGCAUCCUGUCCUCGUCUCUGAACGAUGUCACACAUCGCCAGGCUGUGGAGAGGCCAGACAGGCAGCGCACGUCAGCGUCCGGAGGCCCCCUGUUCUCGCCGUCAGUCCUUCCUCCCUUCCUGCCCUUCUUCCUCUUCCUCCUUCCUUCUUUUCAAGGCAAGUCUGAGGCUUACAGAGGAGUCGUAGGGCUGCCAUA